UACAGAGGUGGCAAGCGUUGUUCGGAAUUACUGGGCGUAAAGCGCACGUAGGCGGCUUUGUAAGUUAGAGGUGAAAGCCCGGGGCUCAACUCCGGAAUUGCCUUUAAGACUGCAUCGCUAGAAUUGUGGAGAGGUAAGUGGAAUUCCGAGUGUAGAGGUGAAAUUCGUAGAUAUUCGGAAGAACACCAGUGGCGAAGGCGACUUACUGGACACAUAUUGACGCUGAGGUGCGAAAGCGUGGGGAGCAAACAGGG
rnacentral:rRNA from 1 species